rnacentral:rRNA from 1 species
GCCCAUGACACCUUGCUUAGCCACACCCUCAAGGGAACUCAGCAGUGAUAAACAUUAAGCCAUAAGUGAAAACUUGACUUAGUCAAAGCUAAGAGGGUCGGUAAAACUCGUGCCAGCCACCGCGGUUAUACGAGAGACCCAAGUUGAUAGACAGCGGCGUAAAGAGUGGUUAAGAACUAAACCAAAAACUAAAGCCGAACGCUCUCAAAGCUGUUAUACGCACUCGAGAGUAUGAAGUUCAACUACGAAAGUGGCUUUACCCCCCUCUGAACCCACGAAAGCUAGGACACAAACUGGGAUUAGAUACCCCACUAUGCCUAGCCCUAAACAUUGACAAUGAACUACAACCAUUGUCCGCCUGGGAACUACGAGCACCAGCUUAAAACCCAAAGGACUUGGCGGUGCUUUAG